rnacentral:ribozyme from 1 species
GUUCGAAGACCACGCGCAUCGGCUCCUGAAGCCCUCUGUACGCCUCUAGAUUCUCUCGCACGCGCUCUACCACCUCCUCCACGUCCUCCACCA